rnacentral:rRNA from 1 species
AUGCAGUGUACCCGCGGCAAGACGGAAAGACCCCGUGAACCUUUACUAUAGCUUGACACUGAACAUUGAGCCUUGAUGUGUAGGAUAGGUGGGAGGCUUUGAAGUGUGGACGCCAGUCUGCAUGGAGCCGACUUGAAUACCACCCUUUAAUGUUUGAUGUUCUAACGUUGACCCGUAAUCCGGGUUGCGGACAGUGUCUGGUGGGUAGUUUGACUGGGGCGGUCUCCUCCUAAA